AGCAGCCGCGGUAAUUCCAGCUCCAAUAGCGUAUAUUAAAGUUGUUGCAGUUAAAAAGCUCGUAGUUGAAUUUCGGGGUCAGUAGGUCGGUCGUGCCACUGGUAUGCACUGGUCUCACUGAUUCCUCCUUCUUGUAGAACCGUAAUGCCAUUAAGUUGGUGUUGCGGGGAAACAGGACUGUUACUUUGAAAAAAUUAGAGUGUUUAAAGCAAGCUAACGCUUGAAUACAUUAGCAUGGAAUAAUGAAAUAGGACGAACGAUCCUAUUUUGUUGGUUUCUAGGAUUGACGUAAUGAUUAAUAGGGAUAGUUGGGGGCAUUAGUAUUCAAUUGUCAGAGGUGAAAUUCUUGGAUUUAUUGAAGACUAACUACUGCGAAAGCAUUUGCCAAGGAUGUUUUCAUUAAUCAAGAACGAAAGUUAGGGGAUCGAAGACGAUCAGAUACCGUCGUAGUCUUAACCAUAAACUAUGCCGACUAGGGAUCGGAUGAUGUAAUUUUAUAAUGACUCACUCGGCGCCUUAA
rnacentral:rRNA from 1 species